GGAGAGGUGGCUCAGUGGUGAAGAGCACCUACUGCUCUUCUGGAGGCCCCGGGUUCGAUUCCCAGCACCCCCA
rnacentral:tRNA from 1 species